CCUACGGGAGGCAGCAGUGAGGAAUAUUGGUCAAUGGGCGCGAGCCUGAACCAGCCAAGUCGCGUGCGGGAGGACGGCCCUACGGGUUGUAAACCUCUUUUGCCGGGGAGCAACGGGCGCCACGUGUGGCGUCACUGAGAGUACCCGGAGAAAAAGCAUCGGCUAAUCCCGUGCCAGCAGCCGCGGUAAUACGGAGGAUGCGAGGGUUAUCCGGAUUUAUUGGGUUUAAGGGGUGCGUAGGCGGAUCGUUAAGUCAGUGGUCAAAUUGAGGGGCUCAACCCCUUCCCGCCAUUGAAACUGGCGUUCUUGAGUGGGAGGGAAGUAUGCGGAAUGCGUGGUGUAGCGGUGAAAUGCAUAGAUAUCACGCAGAACCCCGAUUGCGAAGGCAGCAUGCCGGCUUCCGACUGACGCUGAAGCACGAACGCGUGGGGAUCGAACAGGAUUAGAUACCCCAGUAGUC
rnacentral:rRNA from 1 species